rnacentral:rRNA from 1 species
GUUCGAUCCUGGCUCAGAUUGAGCAGCUGGCGGGAUACUUUUACACAUGCAAGUCGAACGGCAGCACGGACUUCGGUCUGGUGGCGAGUGGCGAACGGGUGAGUAAUGUAUCGGAACGUGCCUAGUAGCGGAGGAUAACUACGCGAAAGCGGCCUUCUUACCGCAUACGCCCUUCGGGAAAGCGGGGACCUUCGGGCCUCGCACUAUUAGAAGCGGCCGAUAUCGGAUUAGCUAGUUGGUGGGGUAACGGCUCACCGGGCGACGUCCGUAGCUGGUUUGAGAGGACGACCAGCCACACUGGGACUGAGACACGGCCCAGACUCCUACGGGAGGCAGCAGUGGGAAUUUUUGGACAAUGGGGAAACCCUGAUCCAGCCAUCCCAUGUGCGAUGAAGGCCUUCGGUUGGCAAGCACUUUUGGCAGAAAAACGGCACGGGAUAAUACCCCGUGCAACUGACGGUACCUGCAGAAUGGCACACCGGCUAACUACGUGCCAGCAGCCGCGGUAUUACGUAGGGUGCAAGCGUUAAUCGGAAUUGCUGGGCGUAAAGCGUGCACAGGCGGUUCCCGGAAAGAAAGAUCUUGAAAUCCCAGAGCUUAACUUUGGAACUGCAUUUUUUUAACUACCGAGCUAGAGUGUGUCAGAGGAGGUGGAAUUCCGCGUGUAGCAGUGAAAUGCGUAGAUAUGCGGAGGAACACCGAUGGCGAAGGCAGCCUCCCUGGGAUAACACUGACGCUCACGAAAGCGUGCGGAGCAAACGGGAUUAGAUACCCUGGUAGUCCGCCCUAAACGAUGUCAGCUAGCUGUUGGGGCGCUGAGCCUUGGUAAAGCCACCAGCUAACGCGCGUGAAGUUGACCGCCUGGGAAGUACGGUCGCAAGAUUAAAACUCGAGAAUUGACAGGGACCCGCACAAGCGGUGGAUGAUGUGGAUUAAUUCGAUGCAACGCGAAAAACCUUACCCUUGACUUGUAUCUGGAAUCCCGAAGAAGAUUUGAAGGGAGUGCUCGCAAGAGAACCCGGAACACAGGUGCUGCAUGGCUGUCGUCAGCUCGUGUCGUGAGAUGUUGGGUUAAGUCCCUAACGACGCAACCCUUGUCAUUAGUUGCUACGAAAGGGCACUCUAAUGAGACUGCCGGUGACAAACCGGAGGAAGGUGGGGAUGACGUCAAGUCCUCAUGGCCCUUAUGGUAGGGCUUCACACGUCAUACAAUGGUCGGGACGUGCGGAGUCUGCUAGCGAAGACCGUCCCGAACGAUCGUAGUCCGGAUCCGCAGUCUGCAACUCGACUGCGUAGAGUGGAAUAACUAAUGCGGAUCAGCAUGUCGCGGUGAAUACGUUCCCAGGUCUUGUACACACCGCCCGUCCACCAUGGGAGUGGGUUUUACCGUGAUUAACCUAAACAUUAAGGGAGGGCGAUUGCCACGGUAGGAUUCAUGACUGGGGUGAAGUCGUAACUCGGAGUAG